GGAGAAUUGCUUGAACCUGGGAGAUGGAGGUUGCAGUGAGCUGAGAUCACGCCACUGCACUCCAGCCUGGG
rnacentral:miRNA from 1 species